rnacentral:rRNA from 1 species
UACGUAGGUGGCAAGCGUUAUCCGGAUUUAUUGGGCGUAAAGGGAACGCAGGCGGUCUUUUAAGUCUGAUGUGAAAGCCUUCGGCUUAACCGGAGUAGUGCAUCGGAAACUGGGAGACUUGAGUGCAGAAGAGGAGAGUGGAACUCCAUGUGUAGCGGUGAAAUGCGUAGAUAUAUGGAAGAACACCAGUGGCGAAAGCGGCUCUCUGGUCUGUAACUGACGCUGAGGUUCGAAAGCGUGGGUAGCAAACAGG